rnacentral:rRNA from 1 species
UACGGAGGAUGCAAGCGUUAUCCGGAUUUAUUGGGUUUAAAGGGUGCGCAGGCGGGAGAUUAAGUCGGCGGUGAAAUUUUGCAGCUCAACUGUAAAAGUGCCUUCGAAACUGGUUUCCUUGAGUGUGGAUGAAGUAGGCGGAAUUUGUGGUGUAGCGGUGAAAUGCAUAGAUAUCACGAGGAACUCCGAUUGCGCAGGCAGCUUACUAAACCAUAACUGACGCUCAAGCACGAAGGCGUGGGGAUCAAACAGGAUUAGAUACCCU